CUUCUGCACAUGCUCUGUUGAGCAGGGUUUAGUCUGUCCGAGGGUAGAGGACGAGGUGGAAGGUGUUUGGAGGGAUUCCCCCUGCUGUAGAGGCCCGCUGCAGGCCCUUCUGACGUCUACAUGCUGGGAAAAGGAGCAGCCACAUGUCAUGGAGAUUCAUUUGAGGCCUGUGAGAUGGAGAUAAGUCACACCUAGAUGAAGAAGAACAACCCGACUACAGAGAUGUCUAUAGAGGAGCUCGAUGACAAUUCCAGAAGCUGCGUGUCCGAGCCAUAAAAGCUGAUACGUGAGGCUGACCACAAACAGCCUGGAGCAGGACGCCUGCCAUGCUUCUCUGCUGUAGCUCAGGGUUAAUAUGUUUCCUUUCAGGCCAGAUCCCCUGAUCCCAAUCAUCAAGGUGGCCUGGACACUUCCCCUAACCCUUCACAACAUACUUCCUGGCGCAGUGUCUGCCAUGCAGCUCCUACUUCCUGUUUAUGUUUGAGACAAAGUGUCAGGAAAAGGGCUCGAGGAGUCGCAGAGCGGGAUUCUGACUCCUGUAUGUUUCUCUGGAGAGCUGCAGCCGUUGGAGG